GUUAUAGUUUGCUUGGUGUUGAAUUUUAGCUGGUUGCAAAUUCACUAUGUGGUGGAAUUUCAGUAUUUUUGAUUAAAUUACUCAAACAUACUUGAGUAAUUUAAGAAGGAAAAAAAACUCUCCUUUAACUCCGUUAUACUGCGUUUAAUUCAGAUCAUUACAUGUAUUUAUGUCACAAAUGUUUAUAAUCUAAGGCUUGCAAAGAGGAAUUUGUCGGCGAGCCUACUUCCGGCAGGCACUGUCACGUGACUCCGUUAGACCAAUCAAAGCAGCAACAAGCACAGCUGCGGGAAGCUGAACCAGGUCAGAAUGUGUCAAGUAUUUAAAUGAUCAAAUACAAACCUUCUUGUUUAACAAGUGAAACAAUGUUCCGAAAAGAAGACCUUUAAUGACGGGACGUGACGUGACGUCAGCACAUCCCGGACGUUUAAGACAACUGGUGACAAAGGUGACAAUCCUUGAGAAUGAGUGAAAUCCAUGGGCGGGCCUACCAGUCCUUUGGAAGAAUCCAACAGAAGAUGGAGCUUUUGACUUGUGUAGUGACUGUCAUCACUGACACAUUAGCUGUGCACCAUCCUCACCAUAUUGUCCACACGCAGUUGGGUGAGCC